rnacentral:tRNA from 1 species
GCUAUUUUGGCAGAUUAGUGCAAUAAAUUUAGAAUUUAUAUAUGUAAGUUUUUACAGAUAGUA